rnacentral:rRNA from 1 species
GCGCAAGCGUUAUCCGGAUUUAUUGGGCGUAAAGGGCUCGUAGGCGGCUCGUCGCGUCCGGUGUGAAAGUCCAUCGCUUAACGGUGGAUCUGCGCCGGGUACGGGCGGGCUGGAGUGCGGUAGGGGAGACUGGAAUUCCCGGUGUAACGGUGGAAUGUGUAGAUAUCGGGAAGAACACCGAUGGCGAAGGCAGGUCUCUGGGCCGUCACUGACGCUGAGGAGCGAAAGCGUGGGGAGCGAACAGGAUUAGAUACCCUGGUAGUCAAGGGCG